rnacentral:tRNA from 2 species
GGAGGCGUGGCCGAGUGGUUUAUGGCGCUAGUCUCGAAAACUGGUUGGGGAGUAAUCCCCUCGGAGGUUCAAAUCCUCCCGCCUCCGCCA